GUCCGAUAUGGUUAAAACUGCUAUUGCGAUUCGAUUUCUAUUCAAUUUUGACAUUAUUAGGAGAAUCGGGCCCCUGAACCUAGAUCUGCUUAGAAACGAGGCAGCCUUCUUCCUCAUGAGCGCAUAGAAAUCAUCCACCCGUGCUUCAGCGAACAUGCCCGAUGCACUGCAGUAUCUAGGCAGCCCCAACAGCAGCCGGAAACCAUUAUUAAAUUGUACCCGCAGGGCGUCUAGAGCCUUCCGCGUACAGUUAACCCACAGACCGCCCGUUAAGGCUUAACCUUAUGAUCGAUCGAUCCGCGCGGCUUUGACUUGGCCGCUAGCUCUUCGCUUUAUCUCCAUUAUCAAGCUCGCAUUAGCAGUCACCAAUGCUAGGUUUCCAUCAUCAGAUAAUGGACCUAACAAGAAUGGGACAAUUUAAGAAAUAUUUUCAGAGCAAAAGGACUGUGGUGCUACAGCUUUGGUGCCAUAUUAACAAAUGCUCAGGUGGAUGUGAUGUGUCAGAAUUCAGCACUUUUUAUUUUGAUUUUGGACCAAAACGGCUGACGUCCUUUAUGUAUUUAUUUUGUGCUUUUAGCAAGUAUUAGGAUGAGACAUCAUUUUUAUACAAAAUUGUAAUAAAUGUGAAAUGCUUUUAGUAUUUAUAAUAAUAAAACACUUUUUACAUAUA